AGUGAACGCUGGCGGCAGGCCUAACACAUGCAAGUCGAGCGGCAGCGCGGGGGCAACCCUGGCGGCGAGCGGCGGACGGGUGAGGAAUUCGUCGGAAUCUGCCUUUUUGUGGGGGAUAACGUAGGGAAACUUACGCUAAUACCGCAUACGUCCUACGGGAGAAAGUGGGGGACCGCAAGGCCUCACGCAGAAAGAUGAGCCGACGACCGAUUAGCUAGUUGGUGGGGUAAAGGCCCACCAAGGCGACGAUCGGUAGCUGGUCUGAGAGGAUGAUCAGCCACACGGGAGGUGAGAAGGGGGGCAGAGGCAUAGGGGGGGCAGGGGGGGGGAAUGUUGGAAACGGGGGGAAAGCGAGGAAGAGCGAUGCGGAGGGUGUUAGGAAGGCGUGGGGGUUGUAAAGCACUUUGGUGGGGAAGGAAAUCAGUAGAGGUAAAACGGGCGGUGGAGAACGGAACCGGAGAAGUAGGCAGGGGCAAAGUUGGG
rnacentral:rRNA from 1 species